rnacentral:rRNA from 1 species
AGUGGUCAUAUGCUUGUCUCAAAGAUUAAGCCAUGCAUGUUUAAGCAGAAGCCGCACAAUGGUAAAGCCGCGAAUGGCUCAUUACAACAGCCGUCGUUUCUUGGAUCUCUAAUUUUACUUGGAUAACUGUGGUAAUUCUAGAGCUAAUACACGCACUAAAGCUCUGACCUUACGGGACGAGCGCAUUUAUUAGAACAAAACCAAUCGGGUUUCGGCCCGUGCGUUGGUGACUCUGAAUAACUCUGCCGAUCGCAUGGUCUCGCACCGGCGACGUAUCUUUCAAGUGUCUGCCUUAUCAACUUUUGAUGGUAGUUUAUGUGCCUACCAUGGUUGUAACGGGUAACGGAGAAUAAGGGUUCGACUCCGGAGAGGGAGCCUGAGAAACGGCUACCACAUCCAAGGAAGGCAGCAGGCGCGCAAAUUACCCACUCUCGGCACGAGGAGGUAGUGACGAAAAAUAACGAGAUGGAUCUCUUUGAGGCCCAUUAUCGGAAUGAGAACAAUUCAAAUCCUUUAACGAGGAUCUAGCGGAGGGCAAGUCUGGUGCCAGCAGCCGCGGUAAUUCCAGCUCCGCAGGUGUAUAUCUAUGCUGCUGCGGUUAAAAAGCUCGUAGUUGGAUCUGCGUGCUCGGAACUGGUUGGCUCACUGAGUUCAAACUGGUCUCCGGCGCUUUAUUUGCUGGUUUUCCCUUGAUGCUCUUAACCGGGUGUCUCGGGUGGCUAGCGUGUUUACUUUGAAAAAAUUAGAGUGCUCAAUACAGGCGCAAAGCCUUGAAUAGUGGUGCAUGGAAUAAUAGAAUAGGACCUCGGCUCUAUUUUGUUGGUUUUCGGAACACGAGGUAAUGAUUAAGAGGGACAGACGGGGGCAUUCGUAUUGCGACGUUAGAGGUGAAAUUCUUGGAUCGUCGCAAGACGGACGACUGCGAAAGCAUUUGCCAAGAAUGUUUUCAUUAAUCAAGAACGAAAGUUAGAGGUUCGAAGGCGAUCAGAUACCGCCCUAGUUCUAACCGUAAACGAUGCCAACUAGCGAUUCGCAGGCGUUAAACAACGACCUUGCGGGCAGCUUCCCGGAAACGAAAGUGUUCCGGUUCCGGGGGAAGUAUGGUUGCAAAGCUGAAACUUAAAGGAAUUGACGGAAGGGCACCACCAGGAGUGGAGCCUGCGGCUUAAUUUGACCCAACACGGGAAAACUCACCCGGCCCGGACACCGUAAGGAUUGACAGAUUGAGAGCUCUUUCUUGAUUCGGUGGGUGGUGGUGCAUGGCCGUUCUUCCUUGGUGGAGCGAUUUGUCUGGUUUAUUCCGAUAACGAACGAGACUCUGGCCUACUAAAUAGUGGGCGGAUCC